AAGUCGUAACAAGGUUUCCGUAGGUGAACCUGCGGAAGGAUCAUUAUGAAUUGUGUUGUUUUGACUCUUUUAAAAGAGUCUCAACUCCUUUUCUGUGAACUGGAUUCUUUUUGUGUGCGCUUACUCCUGUGAGUGAGUGUUGCAAAUCGAAUUGCUUUUAUUUGUUUUCUGUUGUCAUUGUUCUUACAAGUUUUCUUUUUUAAUCAAAGACAACUUUCAGCAAUGGAUCUCUUGGCUCUU
rnacentral:misc_RNA from 1 species